AGAGUGAGGGUGAAGAGGAAGAGGAGGGAGUGUUGUGGAUGAGGGGAAAUGAGCCGCACCUGCACAGUUUGAGGUUACGCGUGAAUAGUGGAAUAUUGUGUUGGGGGAAUGGGUUGCGUUGGGGGAACGGGUGAGUGGUGGAAUAUUGCGUUGGGGAAUGGGUUAUGUUGGGGGACCAGGCCUCCCAUGUGACAGGGACCCAACGGGUCCCACUUAGUCUACUAGGUAUUUAAAACUGGGAUUUUCUUUAAUUCAACUUGCCAAAGCCUUUUUGUAACCCCUUUUGGCUCUUCUAAUUGCCCACCUUUUUAUAUAUUCCUCAAACAAUAUAUUCCUCCGAUUCCAACAUAUUAAAAUAUUUCACACGCUCCGUUUUUCUUUCUGACCAAAUUUUGGUGAAGGUGCAAAAGAUUUGUGCUGUCUGGAUUAGUGGGCAUUAGUUAUAAAGAGAGGUUGGAUAAACUAUAUUGUUUUCUUCAGUGCAUCAGAGAUUGAAGGGGCUGAGAUAGGAGUAUAUAAAAUUAUACGGCACAAAUGGGGUAGACAGUCAGAACCUUUUUCCAGAAUGAAAAUGUCAGGGGAGUGCGCGUGGCAAGUUUUUUUACUCAGAAAGUGGUGUUGCCUUAACACGCAGCCAGGGGUGAUGGUGAAAGUAGAUACGAUAAUAGUAGUGAAGAAGCUUUUAGAUAGGCACAUGGAUAUACAGGGAAUGGAAUAUGGAUCAUAUGUUGGCAGUGAAGAUUAGUUCAAUUUGGCUUCAUGUUCUGCACAGAUAUUGUGGGCCAAAGGCCUUGUUCCAGUGUUGCAGUGUUGCAGAACAUUCUACAUGUUCAAGCUUUUAAUCAUCUAACCUAUAUUGACUUUGGCUUAGUGCCGUUUAUUUGUCUGAUAUUUCAGUGAAGCAUCCCACUACUAUAAAAGUACUACAUCAUAAUACUAUACCACAACAUACUGUUGUCUUUCAGUCACCUCAAGUUAAACCAGUUUCAUUCCACGUUCAAUGUAAUCACUUAUUUUGGCUAUUCUUAUCAGUGCUUGUAUAUCAGGUCUGAAUAAAUAAAUACUCCAUUGGUAAGUCUGUAUCAAUGCAUGGGAUUUAUCCAUUAGUGCUGGAGCUCCUGAUGUGCAGGCCACAUGGAGCCUUGUGCUGAUUGUGAGCAUUUGGAACAGCUUGAUGUCCAGAUGUUGCCAGUGCUCUGUUUUCCAGCUCUAGAAUGGCAUGGUCGGCUGCAGUAUCAAGGAACACUUCUGAGGACUUUUGGCAAAUAUUAAUUUACUCAAUAAUAGAAAGCUCUAGUCAAGGCAGGAUAUUGAUGCAAAACGUGUCAGUGCUGGAGCAGCCAGUGUCAGAGUGGCUUGUUCUACAGUCAUUCUUUGAUGGACUUAUUAUUGACAAUGCCAGAAAUCCUCCUCGGAAGCAACCAGUUAUUCACAUUUGCUCAGAUUUGCCCUGUCCGAAGCUAUGAGGCUCUUGUGUUAAACUAAAUUUUCUAAAAAAGAAAUGAAGGAAUAAAAAAGAGACUGCAGAUGCUGGAAACUGGAACAAGAAAUAAACUGCUGGAGGGUCAAGAAGCAGCUGUGGAGGCAGAAGGUUGGUUGGCAAUCCAGGUUGAGAACCUGCGUCUGGACUUUUUAAAACCUGUUUCUGCUCCCUCUACCUUUCAGGAUCCUUAAGGGAAUGCCAAUUUAAAAUUCCCAGAACAGCCCUUCAAGAAGAUGGAAUGUAACUAUUUUGAAUUUAUCAGAACACUUGCGAGAAACAGAGGGUAGAUGGACUUCCAAGAAUCGGGUACUGACGUGUAAUUACCUGAAGAAUAUUUUUAUGUUUUGCAAUAUGAACUUGACCAAGUUGUUUAUUGCUGAGAUUUUGCCCCCGAGAAGAACCUACAUAUGCUUCCAAACAGCAUGUCUACAGAAAAUGAACCAACGUAAGGAGGUAGUGUUGUUGUGCCUUCUUGGCUGUCCCAUUGAUGUGGUUGGUCCAUGACAAAUCAUUGGUAAUAAAGAACUUGAAGCUUUCCACCAUUUCUACUUCAGUACCAUUGAUGCUGAUUGAGGUAUGUACUCUACCACUUUUCCUGAAGUUGAUAACUAGCUCCUUCAUCUUGCUGACAUUGAUGGAGCGGUUAUUGUCCUGACAACAUAUUUCUAAGUUCUCUAUUCCCUUCCGAUAUUAUGUCUCAUUAUUGUUUGUGAAGCGGCUCACAACAAUGUCAUCUGCAAACUUGUAGAUGGAGCUAGAUUACAUGCCAAUAGAGGAGAUUAGUUUAACUUGGCAUCAUAUUUGGCACAGGCAUUGCGGGUGUUGUGGUUUUCUAUCAUAACAGAGUUUUGAGAGCACAGUAUUGAAGGAGUGAAAUUAAAAAUGCUUUUUCACAGAAAGGACAUUGGUGCUUUGUAAAGUUGCACAAGGUUAAGAGUUCCCAAGGCAGUGAGAUUAUGGAAGAAAGGUGGGAAAAAUAGGACAGAAGUAUAUUGGUCAUGAUCUACGUGUUGGAAACAGGUUCAGCAGGCUGAAUUGAUGUAUCCCAUACCCAAGGGUGUGGCAGCGGUAGAGCAGUUAAACUCAAGGAUUAGUAACCCAAAUCCCUAGACCAACAAUCCAGAGAUGGGAAUUCAAAUCUGAACAUGGAAGUUGUGAAUUUAAACUAAUUUGAAAUGACUAGUCAUUAGUAACAAUUAAUGUAAAACAAUGAGAUUCUCAUCGAAACAGGAGGAAACCUGCAUCCUAACCCAAUCUGGCCCAUUUCUCUCCAAAACCAAAGACAUUAUAGACUCUUGAGUUGCCCAGGUAGUGGCAGGAGGACACGUUCCUCCGCUAUUCACCAGGGUGAUUAGUUGAUAUUAAUAUGCUUCAAUUUCAGUUAGAUUGAUGAAUCCCCUCCUUAUUCACUCCAUCUGUUCAUCACCUACACACUGGGUCCCCUACUACCAUCUGUCCACCCCGCCUCUCUCCAUUGGCUCCAUUCAUCACCUUCCUUUGUCAUCAGAUUCCAUGAUAAAGUGCUACAGAUGAUGGAAUCUGAUAACAAAGGA